rnacentral:rRNA from 1 species
GACGAACGCUGGCGGCGUGCUUAACACAUGCAAGUCGAACGAUGAACCCGGAGCUUGCUCCGGCGGAUUAGUGGCGAACGGGUGAGUAACACGUGAGUAACCUGCCCUUGACUCUGGGAUAACUGCUAGAAAUGGUAGCUAAUACCGGAUACGACCCUCGGUGGCAUCACCAGGGGGUGGAAAGAAUUUCGGUCAAGGAUGGACUCGCGGCCUAUCAGCUAGUUGGUGAGGUAACGGCUCACCAAGGCGACGACGGGUAGCCGGCCUGAGAGGGUGACCGGCCACACGGGGAAGGAGACACGGCACGGACUCCUACCGGAGGCAGCAGUGGGGAAUAUUGCAGGGUGGGCGAAAGCCUGAUGCAGCAACGCCGCGUGAGGGAUGACGGCCUUCGGGCUGUAAACCUCUUUUAGUAGGGAAGAAGCGAAAGUGACGGUACCUGCAGAAAAAGCACCGGCUAACUACGUGCCAGCCGCCGCAGUAA